CAGCAGCCGCGGUAAAACGUAGGGUGCAAGCGUUAAUCGGAAUUACUGGGCGUAAAGCGUGCGCAGGCGGUUUGUUAAGACAGAUGUGAAAUCCCCGGGCUCAACCUGGGAACUGCAUUUGUGACUGGCAGGCUAGAGUAUGGCAGAGGGGGGUGGAAUUCCGCGUGUAGCAGUGAAAUGCGUAGAUAUGCGGAGGAACACCGAUGGCGAAGGCAGCCCCCUGGGCCAAUACUGACGCUCACGCACGAAAGCGUGGGGAGCAAACAGGAUUAGAUACCCGUGUAGUCCCUGUCUCUUAUAC
rnacentral:rRNA from 1 species